UGAUCUAUACAGUUAUAAAUACAGGAUCAUUUUAAACUCUCCUUCAGGAUAAGGUUUAAACACACACACACACACACACACACACAAAGUGACUGAUAGCACCGGCUCGGAUCAGACUGUUGACAAAUCACUGUGAAAUUUGCCUUGGGCCUACAUCAUGUAUGCCAGAGAAAUUCACAGGAAUGAUUAGGCCAUCACUCCAAACCAAGCUGAUGGCCCAGAAGAUAACACACUGUGCAACAUAGCAAAAAACAUCUUGGCGGUUCUCAUUUGAGGAAAGAGGAAGUGACAUCAUUGACCUCCAGGGAAGCCAUGUUGAAAAGCUGGAGUUCACCAGAAUGGUAUUGUAUCCUCCUAACGGAAGACAAGAUUUGGCAUAGGCGUUCCUUCUCAUAACCAGACUUCCUAAACAGAGAUGGUUCAGCCAAAGGAGACAUUUCUACUCACCUGGAACAAGGUAACUGAGGGCGGUGACCCCGGCAGCACGCAGAGACGUCAGAAGCCCGAGGCGUGUCCGCCCCUCCCUGAGUAUCUUCCAUUGUUUGCUCAAUGCCUGUCGGUUCGAGGAGAUUCCUUGUGCCAUAAUGGGCUAUUAUUUGUGCUCAAGCUCUAUUCAAGCCAUAAUGACUUACGCCAGUUUUCCCGGCCCCUGGAGACCUGCAUGCGUAUGGUGCACAACUCAGGAGAAGAG
ensembl:lncRNA